rnacentral:rRNA from 1 species
GAUGAACGCUAGCUACAGGCUUAACACAUGCAAGUCGAGGGGAAACGACAUCGAAAGCUUGCUUUUGAUGGGCGUCGACCGGCGCACGGGUGAGUAACGCGUAUCCAACCUGCCCACCACUUGGGGAUAACCUUGCGAAAGUAAGACUAAUACCCAAUGACGUCUCUAGAAGACAUCUGAAAGAGAUUAAAGAUUUAUCGGUGAUGGAUGGGGAUGCGUCUGAUUAGCUUGUUGGCGGGGUAACGGCCCACCAAGGCGACGAUCAGUAGGGGUUCUGAGAGGAAGGUCCCCCACAUUGGAACUGAGACACGGUCCAAACUCCUACGGGAGGCAGCAGUGAGGAAUAUUGGUCAAUGGACGAGAGUCUGACCAGCCAAGUAGCGUGCAGGAUGACUGCCCUAUGGGUUGUAAACUUCUUUUAUACGGGAAUAAAGUUUCCUACGUGUAGGAUUUUGUAUGUACCGUAUGAAUAAGCAUCGGCUAACUCCGUGCCAGCAGCCGCGG